rnacentral:lncRNA from 10 species
AAGAAAGUGGAGCCCAGGACUUUCCAGUCCCCACCUAGUGAUCAACGUCUCACCCACGGUCAGGGGAGCAACUGGUGGUUCUACUUUUUUGAAUUCUGAAGGCAAAGGCAAGCUUUUUUUAGGGGUCCUGCUGUUGGCAGAGAAAGCUCCCAAGAGUUCUGCAGAGAAGAAGGAUAUAGACUCCAAAAUUUUACUUCCAGGGACCAUUUCAGUAGAGCCUUUUAAGACACAUGUUUUGGAAUACAGUCAAAUGCGUGCUGCUGUAUGACCAGCCUAUUUGAUUAUGCCUCCAAAUCCUACAGAAGUAUAACAACCAUAGAACAGACAAACACCAACAGCAUCAACAACAGAGAAACUCAGUCCAGGAGGAUAUGAAACCCUUUGUAAUAAAGAAAGCAACAUCCAUGAACAUUUGUGUACAUGUGUCUUUAUGGUAGAAUGAUUUCUAUUCCUUUGAGUAUAUACCCAGCAAUGGGAUUGUUG